UUUGGUUAAGUUAGAAAGGGCGCACGGUGGAUGCCUUGACACUAGGAGUCGAUGAAGGACGGGACUAACGCCGAUAUGCUUCGGGGAGCUGUAAGUAAGCUUUGAUCCGAAGAUUUCCGAAUGGGGAAACCCACCAUACGUAAUGGUAUGGUAUCCUUAUCUGAAUACAUAGGGUAAGGAAGACAGACCCAGGGAACUGAAA
rnacentral:rRNA from 1 species